GUGGGGAAUAUUGCACAAUGGGGGAAACCCUGAUGCAGCGACGCCGCGUGAAGGAAGACGUAUUUCGGUAUGUAAACUUCUAUCAGCAGGGAAGAUAAUGACGGUACCUGACUAAGAAGCCCCGGCUAACUACGUGCCAGCAGCCGCGGUAAUACGUAGGGGGCAAGCGUUAUCCGGAUUUACUGGGUGUAAAGGGAGCGUAGGCGGCUUGGUAAGUCAGAAGUGAAAGCCCAGGGCUUAACCCUGGGACUGCUUUUGAAACUGCCAGGCUUGAUUGCCGGAGAGGUAAGUGGAAUUCCUAGUGUAGCGGUGAAAUGCGUAGAUAUUAGGAGGAACACCAGUGGCGAAGGCGGCUUACUGGACGGUAAAUGACGCUGAGGCUCGAAAGCGUGGGGAGCAAACAGGAUUAGAAACCCCUGUAGUCC
rnacentral:rRNA from 1 species